rnacentral:rRNA from 1 species
UACGGAGGGUGCAAGCGUUAUCCGGAUUCACUGGGUUUAAAGGGUGCGUAGGCGGAUAUGUAAGUCAGUGGUGAAAUCAACGGGCUCAACCUGUUAACUGCCAUUGAUACUGUGUAUCUUGAAUAUGAGAGAGGUAGGCGGAAUGUUGCAUGUAGCGGUGAAAUGCUUAGAUAUGCUACGGAACACCGAUUGCGAAGGCAGCUUACUAUUUCGUAAUUGACGCUGAGGCACGAAAGCGUGGGUAGCGAACAGG